UCUGGGAUAUCACUUGUGGGACAAAAAAAACAAUAUAAACGACCAAACUGAUAUAGCCCAAGGACAAUUUAAGAAAAAUAAAUACACCAUUUAAGUAACAGUCCCUCCCUCGUUCAUACAAAUGAAAUCCAUCAACCCUAAUUUCUCAAAGUUCUUCUUACUACAGGAGCAGCAAAGAGAGUGACACAAGAAAAUGGAUACGAGCGAUGCUCACGAAAUUGCUUGUCUGGUGAUGAUCGUUAAACUAACAAUCAAAUGAUUUCAAAUGGGGUAAUCAAGAGAGCCAGGAGAGGAUCCUUCUGCCAAGAGCCAGAUAGAAAAGAAGCAGCGUGUUGAAAAGAAUGAAAAGAACCAGUUAUGGAAUCUGAAACAAGCUGCUAAGGUUCGUGCUCUGCAAAGGUAUGACAUAGUCAACAUGAGUUUAUCUUAAAAACAUUAACUUGGAUGCCACAUUGGCAUAUUCCAUAUCUAUGAAAAAAAGAAGAAGAAAAAAUCACCGAAUUCCGGAUAUUUUUCUAUUCUACACACCUUUAGUAGGGCGGUGAAUAAGUCAUUUUCUCUUUUUACCACGUUUUAAUCAUUUCUGGUAUUACUAAUUUAUCUUGAAUCUAAGAUCCAAAGGCCAAGAUUAAUUCAGUUAAAAUCUAAGAGAUAUUAUAUUAUGUUGAAGAUAUUUUAUAAUAAAAGUUUGGAUAUUCCUUCCUAAUAGUUUGGCUUAAUUUUUGGUAUGACAGACUUAUAAAUAAUAAUCUUCACCUUCUCUAAAAUCACCGUCCAAUUCUUCUUCUAAUAAUAAUGUUAUCAUUUUGGUGGGAACCCGGAGGAGGAACAAUCAGUUCAAUGUUUAGCGUGAUGAUAUUUGCCUCUCACAUCAGUGUGUCUAAGGAAGUUUGCGCUUUUGAGAACCUACCCAUUGAAAUUGAACAAGGUGCUGCCUCAUCAUCACCUACAAUUUCUAGUGAAAGUUGUUCCAAAGGGGUUCAGGAAGCUACUGCUAAUCCCAAGAAGUCUUCCUUAGCAUGUGAUUCAGUUAUGACACUACUCGACAUGUAUGCCGGGAUGUCUACAGGACUUUGCAUGGGUGCAGCUGCAUCGGAUGUCGAUCUUACCUUUGCUGAUUACAUGUUCGAAAUUGAUACCUUCCAGACCAUGCAUGGUCUUGACGGAAGACAGACACGCAUAGGAGAUGCUGCGACAUCUUCCUGUUUCCUCAUACUAGAACUGAUAAAAAGAAGUUACAAAGUAAACCCGAGUUCAGUAUUGAUGGGCAGAAAAAACUGCCGCAUAUACUGCCGCUACCUGGAACUGUCGAUGUGAUAUGUGGUGGCCCUCCCUGCCAAGUGGAUGGUGAACUUUCUACGCUUGAGCAGACUCAUCCAUGGAAGCUUCGCUAUGGCUAUGAUCGUGUGAAUGAUGAUAAAGAUGUUUCCAUCCUCGAGGCCAAGAUGACUGAUGGUAUUGGUAUGUCAUAUAUCAUAAAUAAUUUAGCAGUUCACCAGUUCUCAAUUUCUUUUACUUUUUAGUAUAGUCAAGACUCAAAUGUUUUUUUGGUGAAUGUUUAUUAAUAGAACAAGAAUAGUUUUAGGGGAUAUUUUUGUGUAUUAUGAUGUUGUUCGAGUAAUGUGAACUGUGAAGUCAGUGCAGACGCUUCUUUGAUUCUUAAACCUAUGAAAAAGAAGUUAAGGACCAAUUUUAUCUCAGAGUAUCUUAAUUGCUGGACAAAUUUAGCUUUUAUGACUGUACUCUUAUUAUAGUGAGUAUAAUGCGAAGAAGCGUUUCAUUCUAGUCUAUUUAGCAUCUGGUAAUUUUGGGCUUCCCCAGUACCACAUGGGAGGAGCAUUUCUCCGGGGGCCAAAACUACAGAGAAACUACUUCAAUUUCCUGUACCUAAGCACAAGGUUAUUGAACGCGGGCGUUCCCCCAAGGCAUUCGAGAAAAAUCUUGUCAAAGGGGAUGAAAUAUAUAAGCUGAAGGAAUUACUCCUUGAAGAUGCUAUUAGAGAUUUGCCUUCGAUAACAACCGACAACAAAGAAGACGAGAGGGACAAUGGGGAUGAUCCUAGGACAGAUUUCCAGAGAAACAUACGCUUGCCAAAGCACGAGUUGAUGGCAUCAGCUAACACCCGAUUUAAGGAAUAUGUGAUGCCAAAGCUCUAUGAUCACCGGCCUCUGAAAUUGAGUGACCGUGUAUGCAAAAUUCCAAAGAAGAAGCGUGCAGGUGUGUAACCCUUAUCUUCGCCAAUGCCUCCUCGUAUAGUUCUCUCCAACAUCCCAUAUUGACACGCGGUGAAAGAAUACCCGCGAUCCUUUUUACCAUUUCAAUGAAAUCUGCAGGAAAUAAAAACUUGCAAUACAGUAGCAUCUUCUGCUGGUGUUCUUGCUUAACAACAAGAAGGAUGCUUUUCUGACUCCAAUGAGAUGACAUGAGGAAGUACUAGCAUAUCUCGUUCGACCUUGAAUUGGUCUCCCUUGACUGGUAGACAUAACUCGGUGGUAUUGCUAGGCAUAUGUACGAGAUGCAAUUCAAGAGUCCUACUGGUACAAUGAGAAGGGUUGAAGUGUAAUUGGUGAUGCAUAAAUACCAAGAUAUCCCAGAAAUUGAUCCCACAUCUUACAAAGCGACUUCAAGAAAACUCGUUGCAAGUUCAUUUGUUUUUUAAGUUCAGUAGAUAUUAGAGUUUAGAUACAAAUCUAAGAUUGAACUGGAAGAAGGAUAGAGUUAUUUCCUGUAGAACAUGCCAUGUCAUGAUAUUUUCUGGUAAGCAGUAAGAAGUGGUAGACAGUCUAUUAUCUGUUAUUCAAAUUUGGAUAUAUAUAUGGGUUCAUGACAUUCACCGAGUACUAAAUUUUGAAAAAUGUGGUACACAAGUUGUUGCAGA